UCAAUUCAACCUCUGGGUGUUUUACAUAGGGGGAUGUGUCUGGGGGAAAACGUUUAUCAAACAUGAUGCAUUGGCAGGUUAAAUAGAAAAGAUGGAGUGACUAUUCAAAACCAUGGAAGAGAUUAUUUCAAAUGAGGGCACAAACUGACCGCCCGUGCGUCACACCUGGGAGCUGAGCUGAAGCCCAUGAUUUGAUCUGCGAGCCAUUAGACGCCAGAACGAGCAGACCAUGGGCUAAUAGAAUAGUGUCACAUGAAGUUUCGAUUACAAGCCAGACCAAGGGACUCACUAACUGUUCACUACAGGUCUUAAAGGGAUCGAGACACAUGGAAAACAUCAGGUUGGGUCACCACAGCAACCUUGGAUGGAGGCGAAAUAAGAGGAGAGGGCGAUCGCUCAUUAUGGCUUUUGCUUGGAUUCUGUGGAAUUAUGUUGAAAACUAUUUUAGAAAUCCAUAGGACUGCUCAACAGAAACUCAUCCCUCAUCUGGAAAGAAUAGGAAUUACACCUCGUAUGCAGUCAUCUAGUUUUAACAGAUUCCAACAUACUGCCACAACUGUGCAGAUUAUUUGGCUAAGAGGACCACUGGAACACAAACAUGUCGUGAUGUGUCAGGAAUUGAUGGACAUUGUUGGCAGAGAUGGCUGAUUCUCUCAAGCUCUAUCAGGUUGGAUGGGGAGUGUCGCUGCGCAUCUAUUUUCAGGUCUCUCCAGAGAUGUUUGAUCGAGUUCAAGCCCAGGCUGGGGCUGGGCCACUCAAGAAUAUUCAAAGACUUGCCCCGAAGCUACUGUGUGCUUAGGGUCAUUGUCCUGUUGGAAGGUGAACUUUCACCCCAAUCUGAGGUCCUGAGCGAUCUGGAGCAGUUUUUCAUCAAGUUUCUCUCUGUACUUGGCUCCGUUCAUCUGCCACCACCAUGCUUCACCGUAGGGAUGGUGCCAGAUUUCCUCCAGAUGUGACGCUUGGCAUUCAGGCCAAAGAGUUCAACCUUGGUUUCAUUAGACCAGAGAAUCUUGUAGAGUCUGGCCAAUCUACCACAAUGGCCUGAUUGGUGGAGUGCUGCAGAGAUGGUUGUCCUUCUGGAAGGUUCUCCCAUCUCCACAGAGGAACUCUGGAGCUCUGUCAGAGUGACCAUCGGGUUCUUGGUCACCUCCCUGAUCAAGGCCCUUCUCCCCCUAUUGCUCAGUUUGGCCGGACGGCCAGCUCUAGGAAGAGUCUUGGUGGUACCAAACUUCUUCCAUUUAAGAAUGAUGGAGGCCAUUCUGUUCUUGAGGACCUUCAAUGUUGCAGACAUUUUUUGGUACCCUUCCCCAGAUCUGUGCCUCGACACCAUCCUGUCUCGGAGCUCUACAGAGAAUUCCUUCGACCUCAUGGCUUGGUUUUUGCUCUGACAUGCACUGUCAGCUGUGCGACCUUAUAUAGACAGGUGAGUACCUUUCCAAAUCAUGUCCAAUCAAAAGAUUUUACCACAGGUGGACUCCAAUCAAGUUGUAGAAUCAUCUGAAGGAUGAUCAAGAGAAACAGGAUGCACCUGAGCUCAAUUUCGAGUCUCAUAGCAAAGGGUCUGAAUACUCAUGUAAUGAAACUUAUUUCCAUUUUCUAUUUUUAAUAUAUUUGCAAACAUUUCUACAAACCUGUUUUCGCUCGUCAGUAUGGGGCAUUGUGUGAUUGAUGAGGAAAAAAAUACAUAUUUAAUCAAUUUAAGAAUAAGGCUGUAACGUAACAAAACGUGUAAAAGGGAAGGGGUCUGAUAACUUUCCGAAUGCACUGUAUCUAAGUAAUUUACCUCGUACCCCUGCACAUUGACUCUGUACUUGUAAGUACCCCGUGUAUAUAGCCAGGUUAUCAUUACUCAUUAUGUACUUUUUUUCCUCUGCAUUGUGGGUAAGUUUCUCUACACCUUUUCUACAUCUUUUCAUUAUGAAGCAUUUGACAAUAAAAUGUGAUUUGUAGUAUUGAAAAAUUUGAUAAGGACAAAUAUUAUUGACCCCAGAGUUGUAUAGUAACAACAUUUUAUUUUGAAUUCAUUGCACUUUUCCUCUGAUGUUUUCAUGUCAAGUAUUUCUAGUAUAAUUUUACACAGCACAGGCUUGAAGGGACAGAAGCUUUGAAGUCAUGCCCACCUAUUUUAUAACCUGCAACAACCAUGGGUUGUGCUUUUUGAGAGCAACUCAGAGCAUGGAGAAUCCCCAUUGAGCUGUACCCCUCAGAUAUAUAAGUUCAGAAUAUGUGUAUAUGUAGUGUUACUUUUUCACCUCUGUUAGGGUUAGUGUGUGCUGUCCUUGUUCAUACAAGAAUGCUGUGGCCGGGCCAGCCCAGAAAAGUGUGCUCUGGGACAUUCAAGGCCUGCUAUCGAGAGGCAGUGUGAUAUCAUUUUCCGGCAAACCAGAAAUCAAGGCCUUGGACAGACCUUUUCUAUGUCAGGGAUAGGGGUAGUGUAUGUUUUCUGACAGUUGCUCCUUUCAAGAUUAAUGGGUUUAUGAGAACCGUGUGUCUUCCUCCAAAAGCCAAGCUCAAAAUCUGUCAGUGUUACCAGCAGCAUAAUAGUGAAGUCCUGACAUUGGAAUCCAAAAGACAGAGUGAGUUUUGAUGUCACAACAGAGCAGAAUAUUGUCUCUAUACUGUGUGUGUGCUCAUGUGUGUAUGUGUUUUAAAGACUUAUGUUUGGUAUAGCCAUCUUGAUUUUGUUAUAUUAGGGACGGAAAAAGCGAACCACUUUUGUUCCAUGUGUUGACCUUCGUCUGUAACAACUUUAACAAUAGGAUUGAUAUCUGUAGGGAUGGUAAAAAUAUAGAUUUUUAGCAAUGUAGGUUCAGCAUCUUUGAGUUGUUAUAUCAUGCACUCCAAAAUGAAAACAGUUGCAUAAAACUUCAGGUUUGGUUUAAGUUUCUGUAGGUGACUUUAUCAUUCUUGUUUACUCUGGAGAUGAAGAGGAGAAGAGUAGUUACAGUAAAUGACAUCUGACCAAAUAAUUGAUGUAUGAUUCAUUUUUGAAUAUUGUUAUCAUGUACUUAUACCACUGAAUGCAACAGCAUUUCACUUAUCUGUAAUUAGUUUCACAUCAUUGGAUUUUAUUUCUUUUAAAGUAGAAAGCAGAAAAACACAUGCCCUUUUGAUCUGGUGAUCAUGGACACAAGAGUGGUCUGAACCCCGGAGAGUCACCGUUAAAUUGGUGGCUCAAGAUGAGGACUAAUCAUCUCCCGUACAGGCUUUAGGGCUGGAUUCAAUCCGUAUCGCCCAAUAUCACGGAAGAUACACAUUAUAGCUCGAUUGAAAUUUAAAGGCAAUGUUCCCACGUUUGUGGAGACUGUGUUCACAUUAAAUGCUGCAUAUGUCGGCUCAAUCGUAAAUUACCUUUACAUUUUCACGCAGAUCGUUCACGAUACUUCAGCGAUACAGAUUGAAUCCAGCACUUAGUUGCUGUGGGUGGAUGUGAAAUCUAGGGUGAUCAGGAGGCAAGGCAAUGGCAUCCAGGCAGCCUUGUUGUAUCUGUGUGGACCUCAGUGAACCACUGCCAGACACCCAUAAAUACGUUCCCUUAUUUCUAACAUGGCGUGGAUGCCAGUUGGGGCUAGAAGUGGGUUUGUUUUGGGUGUUCUCAAUGUAUUCCCGCCAGCGCCUCACUUCCACGUUUCUCAUAAGAGAGCCACUGACUUCCUGAAAUGCAUAUGUAUUCAUACUGGUAGUCGUCUGUCAUUUCAGUGAUUUGUUGAAAGCUGCAUAAGUUAAGUCCAGUGUCUGUACAAAGGAGACCUGUUUGUCCAGACACACAUGGAUUAAUCAACUAGACAUCCCACAUUCACAAAGUGUAGUGUCACAUAAAUGCAGAAUCAACAUGAAUUUGAACCUCAACUAUGUUCAGUAAUCCUAGCCCUGGGUAUUCAAAUCAGUAUUGAAUGUGGAACCAGCUGAAUCUUACUUACAGUCAGUUUAGAGUAUUUAGAACUGACUACUCAUUAAAAAAAUUCUUUUGCAUUCUAGAAAAUAACUCUUGAAUAACACUUACUUUAACACUUAAACUUAAGUAACACUUGAACAAUUGCAGAAUCCAAAUGAGAUUUCAUUUCAUAGUAUUUGAAAUACAGUGCACACAUGAUUUAAUAAGUCUUCUUUUAAACCUUCCAAAAUGGGGGACCGUAGCUCACUCAUACAAGUGGUGAAAUGCCUGACAUGUUUGCAUAGAAUAGGGACAGGCAGGACUGCAUCCAAGCCUGGACUUGCUGGCCAAGACAAAACACAAACAUACACACACACACACACACACACCCAAACACACAAGUAGAUGGAGGAAAUCACUACUUUAGAAUUACAGAUAGAGGAUCUUAUUUUGACACGUAUUAUCACAUCAAAAUAAUCCUGCAGCAACAGGAUAUGAACGUUUAGUCCAUAAUGUUGCUUGAUUGGUGGUUAGGAUGUAAACUGGUCCAAUUUAGGCUCCAUGGAAUGUGCAAUACCAAUAUAAACAUGUGUUAGUGCAGGUGUCACGUCCUGACCUUAGUUCCUUUUUUAUGUCUCUAUUUUAGUUUGGUCAGGGCAUGAGUUGGGGUGGGCAUUCUAUGUUUUGUGUUCUAUGUUUUCUAUCUCUAUGUGUUUGGCCUGGUAUGGUUCCCAAUCAGAGGCAGCUGGCAAUCGUUGUCUCUGAUUGAGAACCAUACUUAGGUAGCCUGUUAUCCCAUUUUUUAGUUGUGGUUGAUUGUUUUCUGUUUUGUAUGAGUACCUGACAGAACUGUUGCGUUUUGUUCUACUUUUGUUUCAGUGUUCCGGUUAUAAUAAACAACAUGGACACUUACCACGCUGCGCAUUGGUCUGAUAUUUCCUACUCCUCCUCAGAAGAGGAGGAGAAUCGUUACAGAAUCACCCACCACCAAAAAAGGACCAAACAGUGUGAUAACCUGGAGCAGAGGGUUCUGGACUCCUGGACUUGGGAGGAGAUACUGGAAGGCAAGGGACCCUGGGCACAGGCUGGGGAAUAUCGCCGCCCCAAGGAAGAGCUGGAGGCAGCGAAAGCUAAGCGGCAGCGAAUUGAGGUAAGGCAGCGCAACAGGCACGAGAGGCAGACCCCCCCCAAAAAAAUAUUUGGGGGCACACGGGGAGUGUGGCAGAAUCAGGUUGGAGACCUUAGCCAACUCCCCGUGCUUACCGUGACGGGCGUCGUACUGGUCAGGCACCGUGUUAUGCGGUCAAGCGCACAGUGUCUUCAGUGCGUGUUCUUAGCCCGGUGCGCUACAUCCCAGCCCCCCGUAAGUGCCAUGCAAGAGUGGGUAUCCAGCCAGGGCGUAUUGUGCCGGCCCAGCGUGUUUGGUCUCCGGUACGCCGUUUCGGCCCAGGGUAUCCUGCGCCGGCGCUGCGUGCUGUGUCUCCGGGUGGCUGGGAGGGUGCAGUGAGUCCUAUGCCUGUUCUCCGCCCGUGCCGGGCGAAUGUUGGUAUUGAGCCUAAGGGAGAGGUGCGAGUGGUAUGCACCAGAUCUCCAGUGCUCACCCACAGCCCGGUUCAACCUGUGCCUGCACUCUGGAGGGUCCGGGCUAAAGUGGUCAUCCAGCCUGGAGGAGUGGUGCCAAGGCUGCGCACCAGAGCUCCAGUGCUCCCCCACAGCCCGGUCCAUACGGUGCCUCCUCCACGCACCAGGCCUCCUGUAGGUCUCCCCCUCCAGGUUCUCCCGUCUGUCUGGAGCUGCCAGAGCCGCCGGUCUAUUCGGGGCCCACUGCAAGGGUCCCCAGUCCGAGGUCGGCGGCGAGGGUUGCCGCUCCAAAGGCGCCACUUAAGUGGGCCAAGACGAUGGUGGAGUGAGGUCCACGUCCCGCGCCAAAGCCGCCACCGCAGACAGAUGCCCACCCAGACCCUCCCCUAUGGGUUUAGGUUUUGCGGCCGGAGUCCGCACCUUUGGGGGGUACUGUCACGCCCUGACCUUAGUUCCUUUUUUAUGUCUCUAUUUUAGUUUGGUCAGGGCAUGAGUUGGGAUGGGCAUUCUAUGUUUUGUGUUCUAUGUUUUCUAUCUCUAUGUGUUUGGCCUGGUAUGGUUCCCAAUCAGAGACAGCUGGCAAUCGUUGUCUCUGAUUGAGAACCAUACUUAGGUAGCCUGUUUUCCCAUUUUUGAGUCGUGGGUGAUUGUUAUCUGUUUUGUAUGAGUACCUGACAGAACUGUUGCGUUUUGUUCUACUUUUGUUUCAGUGUUCCGGUUAUAAUAAACAACAUGGACACUUACCACGCUGCGCAUUGGUCCGAUAUUUCCUACUCCUCUUCAGAAGAGGAGGAGAAUCGUUACAGCAGGUUUUCAGUGAAUAUUUGUAAAUCCCAAAGCUCAUCUGCAUUCCCUGCAGCUCAGGGACAUUCAGUGACAACAGAGUGAUCAAAUUAAGAUAAUCUGUAUGUGCUAUAAUUGAGUUGGGCCCUGCAUUGAGUUAGCCCCAGCACAGUGCAAUAUGAUUAGAAAUCCCCUUCUAAACAUACAGCCACACACCCCCACUUUACCCCAUCAGCAAUGAGAGGCUGUUCAGUUUACCUCAUUGUGAAAUGUCCAAAAGCAGAGCAUAUACAGUAUGUCCUAAUAGAUGGACAGGGCAAUAAGAGAAUACCGGUGGGACAUUUUUGAAUGUUUGAAAUGAGAAACAAACGAACUGCCAUGAUGCCUCUGUUGGCUGUAUCAGUGAAUGCUAUGGGAUAGAACAGAUACGACAGGGGAGGAGGUGAGCUGUAGCUGAAAGCACACGACAACCUGUAUAACAAGAAGUUCUCUAGGUUUGCACACCUUCCCCCAAACACAUCUUAACCUUCAACUGCUGUACCAGGAGCCUGUUGUGCUUGUUGUUCCUGAAAAGUCUUUAUAUGCCUGGACACUGGACAAGGCUGAGAGUUCUGUGUGAUUCAGUUACAAAACCUAUGGGUGGUGCUCUGUAUUCCCACUUACUGACCAUGGGGUGCAGCGGACAAUAUGCAUUCUUUGACAAAAUAGUCUACAUUAAAGAGAAUCAUUUGAAUCUGUUUCAUUUUGUGCUGUGUAAUGAAAUGGGUAAUGAUCAGAAUAUGCAGCACCUCAGAAAGUAUUCAUACCCCUUGACUUAUUACACAAUUUGUUGUGUUACAGCCUGAAUUCAAAAUGGAUUAAAUAAAAACAAUUCUCACCCAUCUACACACAAUACCCCAUAUUGACAAAGUGAAAACAUGUUUUUAGACAUUUUAGCAAAUGUAUUGAAAAUGAAACACCGAAAUAUCUAAUUUACAUAAAAAUUCACAUCCCUGAGUCAACACAUGUUAAAAUCACCUUUGCCAGCAAUUACAGCUGUGAGUCUUUCUGGGUGAGUCUCUAAGAGAUUUGCACACAUGGAUUGUACAAUAUUUGCACAUUAUUCUUUUAACAAUUCUUCAAGCUCUGUCAAGUUGGUUGUUGAUCAUUGCUAGACAGCCAUUUUCAUGUCUUGCCAUAGAUUUUCAAGCUGAUUUAAGUCAAAACUGUAACUAGGCCACAUUCAAUGUAAUCUUGGUAAGCAACUCCAGUGUAUAUUUGUCUUGUGUUUCAGGUUACUGUCCUGCUGAAUGGUGAAUUUGUCUCCCAGUGUCUGUUGGAAAGCAGACUGAACCAGGUUUUCCUCUAGGAUUUUGCCUGUGCUUAGCUCUAUUCCGUUUCUUUUUAUCCUAAAACAAAUCCAUAGUCCUUGUCAAUGACAAGCAUACCCAUAACAUAUUGCAGCCACCACCAUGCUUGAAUAAAUGAUGAGUGAUAAUGAGAGUAACACAAAAAUCUAAAUUGGAUCCAGUUCAGGCUGUAUCACAACAAAAUGUGUGAACACUUUCUGAAGGCACUGUACAUAAAGGUGACUGGGGUUUUUAGCAGAGGAAUGUCCUAGUCAUGUCCCCGUUGAGUUUUCCAUGCGCCAUCCUGAAAGACAAUAAGACAUUGACUGACAGAGAGGAACAGUUUAUGAUGACACUGCCAUGGGAAUGUUAUAUGUCAAUUAUUACUCCAUUCAUGUUCAUUUUAGAAUGAUUUUGUGGCAGGUUUGGGGUGUAGAGGCCUCAGAUAUUUAGUUGAACCACUUUUGCAUAGAAAACAACAUCAGAGAUUGCUAAAUGUCAAUAUGCAAUGUUGAUGAAACCAUCUUUUCCACAUAUAAAGCCAGUGUCUUAAUAGUGAUAGUGGUAAUUACAGGGUUGGUCAAAGGUGUCUCUUUGCGCAUACAAGCAUGUGAGCGAGCUCACAGUGCUAUGAAAAGUCAAGGAGAGAUUACGUUAAUCUGGUAUAAUUAGAUGAGGUUCACACCUUUAGCAGAAGUUUGCAACAAAGGGAAAUUAUCCUUCCCCCCCACCUCAAUAAUGCUACCCUGUCAUUAUCUCACAGACAGUUUGUUUAGAGGGAUCAAUUAAGGAUCAUUUUAUGCCGUUCAGCUAUAUGGCAAACACCUUUGCGUUGGACUUACUUUCUUCCUAUCAAGGCAGUGCUGCCAAAAGAAACGUGAAGGGUUGGAAACUUGAUGUCAACAAUGCUGUUGCUAAAUCAAAGCGUCCCUCUCGGAAUCAUUGUGCAAUUACCUCGAAGGAGAGGCUUUCGUGGAAGAUUCAAAGUGUCUCCAUAUGCUGCAGAGCAUAACCUUACACUACAUCUCAAAAACAUCCAGAGAAAUGGAAGUCUGAGUGUCUCUCCUUGAAGAGGAACCGGUCCCAGACCUUCUGCCCAACAGGGAGAGAAAAUUACUACACCAAAUCGAGAGAAGGAGAAUCUUUCCUUGGCAGUAGAUGUAGGGACACGGUUCCAGAGCUACCCUCACUCGAUGAAACAGCAAGGACUUCUGAAUGAAGUACGGCACCGAGUCAUCAUCACACAAGACUGGGUGCUAAGAGCAACUUGAGGGCUGAAGAGGAAAGCUGUUCUCUUUGUUGCAAUCAUGAAGAAGAUAAAGCUGAAAAUUGUUAGGGUGGUGAUGAAGAUGAUUGCAUCCUUUCAUUUGACUAUUUUGAAACACAGUACUUGGAUUCAGUGGGGUGUAUUUUGAACUUGCCAGCAGUGACAUCACUGUGUAAACAUAACCUCUAAGUGUUGCAUAUGAAGAUGUGCAUCGUCAAACCCGACCACUUGAGAAGAGAUACCCUCCCGAGGAGGAUGACUUGAGGUCUCUUGUGCUCUGAGAAAUUGUCAGUAUGGAAAUGAUGGAUUUGCCUGAUAGUGGUAAGAGCCAGGUUAAGCUGUGCUCCGUCAGCGGCAUUGCUUUAAUAUCAAUAACACGGAAGAAUGCCUGGUUUCAGAGAGGAACAUUCGGGGAGCCCCGCCAAGGAGGCUUGAAUGGAUUCCAGACCCAAAUAGACCACCAAUUCCCCAUGGAGACGGGCCCACAACCUCAGAGCCAAGCAGAGACUAGCAGGCCUCCUGUGCUGUGCUAUUCUGUUCUGUGUAUCCUGUUGCUCUCCCACCAUGUAGCCAGGCCCUUGCCCAACAUAGAGUUUACAUCUCCAGAUCAAAGUGAUAAUGGGCCUUGAUUAACAAUCUAAACAAAUCGAGGUCUCAUUGCCAUUGAGUUUCCAGAGAAGUCAGGAUGGGAGACCAGAUUGUGGCCCUUCCUCUUUCUAC